UUCAUUGAAUAAAGAAAAGGAAACUCUAACUCUAAAAACCCUAGCCACCCUCUUCCGCCUUCGCCACUGCCACUCUUCCGUCCGUCAGCUACCGCGUUCGUCACCGCCUCGAUCGUCGGCUAUCUCUGUCUCGGUUCACCGUCGUCCGUCAGCCAACAGCCGACCGUAUAGCCGUAUCCUGCACAUCGACCGAGUCAAGUCUUCAGUCGAUUGGCCAACCUGAGCCGCUCUACACCUCCGUCUGAUUUUCGUCGUGUCAACAGACGUCUGUUAGCCGACCGUCGAAGCUUCCCUUCACGUAGACCCUCAACUCGAGCCGAUUUCCUCUUCUAGCCGUGAGUCAUGCCUUCACCGAGCCGAGUUGCCUGUUCACCUUCAGCCGAGCUGUUUCCCUGUCGAGCUGAGCUGCUUGUUUUCCUUCAGCUGAGCCACCUAGCCAGUUUUUCCUCUAGCCAAGCCAUUUUGAGCCACCAAGCUUAUUUUUGGAUUUUUACCUAUUUUUUUGAUCAAUUGGGAGUUGUACUGAACAAAUUUUCCUAAACCAAGGAUAAAUUUGGAUUUUAUCUUCAACUUUGAGACUUGACUGUUGGAGAGCUUGACCGUGCUGUUAGGAUAAUUUUGGUGUGAGCUAAUCUCCAGGUAGAGGUAGAGGUAAGGGCAAAGGAAAGUUGGUGAAUGACAAGAAGUGACCGUGGCGAACCAUAGGGAUCUCUUUUACUUCCGCUUUAUGACUUUGGUCAGAUGCGAUUUUAUUUUAUUUUAUUUUAUUUAUUUAUUUCUCUUUAAAACUAGAUAGGGCCCAAGUUAGGAAUUUAUUUAAAUUUACCUUUACGUACAUUUGUUUAUGAUUUUUAAUGAGUAUUUGAGGUUUUGUUUUA